UACGUAGGGUGCGAGCGUUGUCCGGAAUUAUUGGGCGUAAAGAGCUCGUAGGCGGCCUGUUGCGUCUGCUGUGAAAGCCCGGGGCUUAACCCCGGGUCUGCAGUGGAUACGGGCAGGCUAGAGUUCGGCAGGGGAGACUGGAAUUCCUGGUGUAGCGGUGAAAUGCGCAGAUAUCAGGAGGAACACCGGUGGCGAAGGCGGGUCUCUGGGCCGAUACUGACGCUGAGGAGCGAAAGCCAGGGGAGCAAACGGG
rnacentral:rRNA from 1 species